GACGAACGCUGGCGGCGUGCUUAACACAUGCAAGUCGAACGGAAAGGCCCUGCUUUUGUGGGGUGCUCGAGUGGCGAACGGGUGAGUAACACGUGAGUAACCUGCCCUUGACUUUGGGAUAACUUCAGGAAACUGGGGCUAAUACCGGAUAGGAGCUCCUGCUGCAUGGUGGGGGUUGGAAAGUUUCGGCGGUGGGGGAUGGACUCGCGGCUUAUCAGCUUGUUGGUGGGGUAGUGGCUUACCAAGGCUUUGACGGGUAGCCGGCCAGAGAGGGUGACCGCCCACAUUGGGCCUGUGAUACGGCCCAGACUCCUACGGGAGGCAGCAGUGGGGAAUAUUGCCCAAUGGGCGGAAGCCUGAUGCAGCAACGCCGCGUGCGGGAUGACGGCCUUCGGGUUGUAAACCGCUUUCGCCUGUGACGAAGCGUGAGUGACGGUAAUGGGUAAAGAAGCACCGGCUAACUACGUG
rnacentral:rRNA from 1 species